GAUGAACGCUGGCGGCGUGCCUAAUACAUGCAAGUCGAGCGAACGGACGAGAAGCUUGCUUCUCUGAUGUUAGCGGCGGACGGGUGAGUAACACGUGGAUAACCUACCUAUAAGACUGGGAUAACUUCGGGAAACCGGAGCUAAUACCGGAUAAUAUUUUGAACCGCAUGGUUCAAAAGUAAAAGACGGUCUUGCUGUCACUUAUAGAUGGAUCCGCGCUGCAUUAGCUAGUUGGUAAGGUAACGGCUUACCAAUGCAACGAUGCAUAGCCGACCUGAGAGGGGGAUCGGCCACACUGGAACUGAGACACGGUCCAGACUCCUACGGGAGGCAGCAGUAGGGAAUCUUCCGCAAUGGGCGAAAGCCUGACGGAGCAACGCCGCGUGAGUGAUGAAGGUCUUCGGAUCGUAAAACUCUGUUAUUAGGGAAGAACAUAUGUGUAAGUAACUGUGCACAUCUUGACGGUACCUAAUCAGAAAGCCACGGCUAACUACGUG
rnacentral:rRNA from 1 species